UGGCUCAGUUGGUAGAGCAUGGUGUUUGCAAUGGUGUUUGCAAUGGUGUUUGCAACGCCAGGGUUGUGGGUUCGAUUCCCAC
rnacentral:tRNA from 1 species